UCAAAGUAAACGCUAGAAGGCAUCAAACACUACCAACUCUGCAAACAAGCAGCAUAGAAUACGGUAACAAGAGGGUGAUUUCAAUUGUUUAAGCCGUAAAAUGACACAGUGAACACAACUGGAUCCCCUAUAAAUACAAAGAAAUUGCGGAUCAAAAAAAUACUGCAAUCAAAUUAAUCAAACUUGAAAAACUAUGGGAAAAGCUCAAUUCAGUUUCUCUCGGCCUGCUUUCGUCGGUUUUGUGCUUGUUCUGAUGCUUCUCCACUUCAGGGAUGUUAGUUCGACAGCGCCCUCAUCAGGUCCAGUUUGCGGUCUUGGGGCGGAACUGAAAAGGAUCAAAGGUUUAACUUCAUGCGAUUAUUGUGAAGAUUUCUGUAACGCAUAUGCUAGUGGCUUUGGUUCUCUGGAUUGCAGUAACGAUAAUUUUGUUGCUAGAUUUCUUGAGUUACCAAUAGUGUGCAUAUGUUGUGAAUGAAGCAACACCACCACAAGCAUCCGUGAUGCACUGCAAGAAUGGUGUUUGAUCUAGUGUUUAUAUAUCGAUCGAUGAUUGGGUGUUUUAGUUUGUUUGUGUUGAUUCCCAUUAGUUGACUUGUUUCCCGAGUCCCGGGUGAAUUUCCCUUUUAAAUUAAGCUUGUUUCAUUUCAUGUUGGGUCUGGACUUUAUUAAUUAUUAUCAGUAUGAUUGUAAUCAAGGAAUUAAUGAAAAUAAUAAAUUUAGGUUAAGCUCGGUUAAUAGUUAAA